rnacentral:tRNA from 1 species
GAUAGGGUGGCCGAGCGGUCUAAGGCGCUAGUUUCAGGUACUAGUUCGAAAGAGCGCGGGUUCAAAUCCCGUCCCUGUCA